UACUUAGUGGCAGACGGGUGAGUAACAUGUGGGUAUCUACCCUUUGGCCUGGAAUAACACGAGGAAACUUGUGCUAAUACCGGAUAAGUCUUUACGGAGAAAGCUUUAUGCACCAUUGGAUGAGCCCGCACUUGAUUAGUUUGUUGGUAGGGUAAUGGCCUACCAAGACUAUGAUCAAUAGCUGAUUUGAGAGGAUGAUCAGCCACAUUGGGACUGAGACACGGCCCAAACUCCUACGGGAGGCAGCAGUGGGGAAUCUUGCACAAUGGAGGAAACUCUGAUGCAGCGAUGCCGCGUGAGUGAAGAAGGCCUUUGGGUUGUAGAGCUCUUUCGUCGGGGAAGAAAAUGACUGUACCCGAAUAAGAAGGUCCGGCUAACUUCGUGCCAGCAGCCGCGGUAAUACGAAGGGACCUAGCGUAGUUCGGAAUUACUGGGCUUAAAGAGUUCGUAGGUGGUUGAAAAAGUUGGUGGUGAAAUCCCAGAGCUUAACUCUGGAACUGCCAUCAAAACUUUUCAGCUAGAGUAUGAUAGAGGAAAGCAGAAUUUCUAGUGU
rnacentral:rRNA from 1 species